UACGUAGGGUGCAAGCGUUAAUCGGAAUUACUGGGCGUAAAGCGUGCGCAGGCGGUUUGUAAGUCUGUCGUGAAAUCCCCGGGCUCAACCUGGGAAUUGCGAUGGAGACUGCAAGGCUAGAAUCUGGCAGAGGGGGUAGAAUUCCACGUGUAGCAGUGAAAUGCGUAGAGAUGUGGAGGAACACCGAUGGCGAAGGCAGCCCCUGGGUCAAGAUUGACGCUCAUGCAC
rnacentral:rRNA from 1 species